GUGAGGUAACGGCUCACCAAGGCAUCGACGGGUAGCUGGUCUGAGGGGACGAUCAGCCACAUUGGGACUGAGACACGGCCCAGACUCCUACGGGAGGCAGCAGUAGGGAAUCUUGCGCAAUGGGCGAAAGCCUGACGCAGCGACGCCGCGUGUGGGAUGAAGGUCCUCGGAUUGUAAACCACUGUCAGGAGGGACGAAUGCCGGGCAACCGGUUUGACGGUACCUCCAGAGGAAGCACCGGCUAACUACGUGCCAGCAGCCGCGGUAAUACGUAGGGACCAAGCGUUGUCCGGAAUUAUUGGGCGUAAAGAGCUCGUAGGCGGUUCGGUAAGUCGGGUGCGAAAAUCCAGGGCUCAACCCUGGGACGCCACCCGAUACUGCUGUGACUAGAGUCCGGUAGAGGAGUGUGGAAUUCCCGGUGUAGCGGUGAAAUGCGCAGAUGUCGGGAGGAACACCAGUAGCGAAGGCGGCCCUCUGGGCCGGUACCGACGCUGAGGAGCGAAAGCUAGGGGAGCAAACAGGAUUAGAUACCCUGGUAGUCCUAGCCGUAAACGUUGGGCACUAGGUGUGGCGGAUUCAUUGACAUCUGCCGUGCCGUAGCUAACGCAUUAAGUG
rnacentral:rRNA from 1 species